ACCAUUCUGUCCAGCUGAAGAAGUGAACUCAGAUGGUCUUCGUUUACUUGCACUGGCAAUUGGGGCAUCUGGCCCAUGAUACCAGGCGUCUCGCUCAUUCUGCAGCACAAAAGGAAAAAAUAUUAUAUUUUAAUUAAAAUGCGAGAAGUUUAUGGACAUACAAACCUUGAAUGUUUCGAUAUUUGUGGCGAUUUGGUUGAGUAAAUGAUUGUUUUCUUCCAGGAGAUGCUGUGUUGCACUAUCCACGACAGGACCUUCCUUAGGAACCUGACAUUGCUGAUUUGUAUGUUGCAUCGAUAUUGAGAAAGGGGUCACAGUGUUUGCAGGUGCCAGGUGAAAAUUAGCCAUGGAGGCAGAUGCAACCAUCUUGUCCUGGAUUGGCUUCAUGUCUCUUAUCUUUUUCCCUGUAUAAAAUCCAUCAGGUUUCUUCCUUCUAUCUUUACUCUGUAACACCCACCAACACCGCAAUGCAACAUCCCUGACAGUCCUGUUGGGUAGCAUAGCUGCUAUUUUUAUGUACUUCAUGAUAUUCGGUUCGCGAGCAUAUCUGCCACCCUUCCUUCAGUGUGUUCAGCUCACGGUCAUUCCAAUCUGAAGGCGAACCAGUGACGAACUUGUACUUGGGCGCCACCGUGCUACUGAACGCAUCCCCCGACGAGCUCCUCGACGGGCCGGCCACCGAUGCGUUGCCCAGCACACCGGUGUU
rnacentral:sRNA from 1 species